UGAGGAAUUUUGCGCAAUGGGCGAAAGCCUGACGCAGCGACACCGCGUGGGGGAAGAAGGCCCUCGGGUUGUAAACCCCUUUCGUGAGGGAAAAAGUCCCGAGUAAUCGGGGUGAUGGUACCUCAGGAAGAAGCCACGGCUAACUCUGUGCCAGCAGCCGCGGUAAGACAGAGGUGGCAAGCGUUGUUCGGAUUUACUGGGCUUAAAGGGCGUGUAGGCGUCUUGAUAAGUCAGAUGUGGAAGCCUUAGGCUUAACCUAAGAAUUGCAUUUGAAACUAUCAGGAUUGAGUCAGGCAUGGGAGGGCGGAAUUCCUGGUGGAGCGGUGAAAUGCGUAGAUAUCAGGAGGAAGGCCGGUGGCGAAGGCGGCCCUCUAGGCCAUGACUGACGCUGAGGCGCGAAAGCGUGGGGAGCAAACAGG
rnacentral:rRNA from 1 species